UACGGAGGGUGCAAGCGUUAUUCGGAAUCAUUGGGUGUAAAGGGCGUGCAGGCGGCCUGAUAAGUCAGACGUGAAAGCUCCGGGCUCAACUCGGAAAGUGCGUUUGAAACUAUCAGGCUUGAGUACGGGAGAGGAAGGCGGAAUUCCCAGUGUAGAGGUGAAAUUCGUAGAUAUUGGGAGGAACACCGGUGGCGAAGGCGGCCUUCUGGACCGAUACUGACGCUGAGACGCGAAAGCGUGGGGAGCAAACAGGAUUAGAUACCCCCGUAGUCC
rnacentral:rRNA from 1 species